rnacentral:rRNA from 1 species
GAUGAACGCUAGCGGGAGGCCUAACACAUGCGAGCCGAGCGGUAGAGAUUCUUCGGAAUCUUGAGAGCGGCGUACGGGUGCGGAACACGUGUGCAACCUGCCUUUAUCAGGGGGAUAGCCUUUCGAAAGGAAGAUUAAUACCCCAUAAUAUAUUUGAUGGCAUCAUUAGAUAUUGAAAGCUUUGGCGGAUAGAGAUGGGCACGCGCAAGAUUAGAUAGUUGGUGAGGUAACGGCUCACCAAGUCGAUGAUCUUUAGGGGGCCUGAGAGGGUGAUCCCCCACACUGGUACUGAGACACGGACCAGACUCCUACGGGAGGCAGCAGUGAGGAAUAUUGGACAAUGGGUUAGCGCCUGAUCCAGCCAUCCCGCGUGAAGGACGACGGCCCUAUGGGUUGUAAACUUCUUUUGUACAGGGAUAAACCUACUCUCGUGAGAGUAGCUGAAGGUACUGUACGAAUAAGCACCGGCUAACUCCGUG